rnacentral:tRNA from 1 species
GAGGAUAGAGCUCAGUGGUAGAACACAUGCUUAGCAUGCAUGAGAUGCUCAGUUCAAUCCCCAGUAUCUCCA